CGAGGCUGCUCCUUUUCCAUCAGAUCUGAGCAGGGGCGCCUCAGCGCCAGUACAACUAAGCACAACAAAUCCUGGCGAGCUGCAGCGAGCGACAGCAAGAGGGAAGGGGAGGCGGUGGUACACGGGCAGCGCCGCCGGUGCCAGGUCCGCAGGGGCUCCCGGCCGCUGCCCAGGGCUCCGGUGUCGGGGCAAUGUACCAAAACCGGGGAGCAGCAGAUAGAGGAGGCGAAGGAGGGCUGGGCGCCAGCGGCUGCCCCGGGACGGAAAGGGCACGGGAGCGCCCCGGGAGCUCCCAAGCGGCGCGCCGGCCGGCUCUCCGCACCCCUCUCACGCCAUGCCACAGCCGGCCAGCCAGCCCCAGGGUCCCGGCCCCGGGCUUCCAGGGUCCAGAGAGCAAUCGCGUAGGCAACAGGAGACCCGCAGCAACGGCGCCAGCCCUAACCCCGCUGCGAGGGGGAGUGGGGUACUGACAUUUCUGCCGCCACGUAAGAGCCUCCGGCGAGUCCCUCUCCGCCCCCUCCAGUCCCCUCCCUCCCCCCCGAGGCCCGAUCGACGUGUCAGCCCCAAAAGUUCAUUUCCAGGCCCUAGGAGAGUCCCCUAUAAAGGUCCCGGGGCGUGAGUGGGACAGUGAGACGUGGCACUGCGGGGCUGCAGCCGGGGCGCGUAGGCAUCUCCCCAGCCAAUUCCCUGAACUGAUACUUUCAAAAUGAAGAGGAAGAUAAGAGUGGGAAUGAAGAAUGCCUUGGAGAAAUCCAGUCAUAAAGUUUGAGGAGUAGAAAUAAUAGGAAAUAUUAAUAACUCUGGUCUCUUACAUAGGUCAGAAUUUAGACUGAAAUGAUGUAAAGUUACAAACCUGAGACGUAAGGGCUAUUAAAUUUGAAUCAAGAUUCACAGAUUUUUAAAUUAAUGCAUAAUAAAAAUGUUUGCUUUUUCCCUUCUA